GACGAACCGUGCGAACGUUGUUCGGAAUCACUGGGCUUAAAGGGCGCGUAGGCGGCUUGCCAAGUCAGGGGUGAAAUCUUUCGGCUUAACCGGAAAAGUGCCUUUGAUACUGGCGAGCUCGAGUGAGGUAGGGGCAGAUGGAACUGUUGGUGGAGCGGUGAAAUGUGUUGAUAUCAACAGGAACGCCGGUGGCGAAAGCGAUCUGCUGGACCUCUUCUGACGCUGAGGCGCGAAAGCUAGGGGAGCAAACGGGAUUAGAUACCCCGGUAGUCCUAGCCCUAAACGAUGGGUACUGAGUAGUGGACUUACAUGGGUUCACUGCUGAAGCAAAAGUGGUAAGUACCCCGCCUGGGGAGUAUGGUCGCAAGGCUGAA
rnacentral:rRNA from 1 species